UGUGUUGGGUUGCAUUGGAAGGGUCCUUGCAGACCACAGAGUCAUGGGAUGGUUGUGCUGUAUUGGGUUGCAUUGGAAGGGUCCUUACAGACCACAGAGGCGUGGAAUGGUUGUGCUGUAUUGGGUUGGGUUGCAUUGGAAGGGUCCUUACAGACCACAGAGCCAUGGGAUGGUUGUGCGGUAUUGGGUUGGGUUGCAUUGGAAGGGUCCUUGCAGACCACAGAGCCAUGG